rnacentral:lncRNA from 1 species
AGCAGGAGGACAGCAGCCAGCGCUGAGAGGCCCAGGCGCAGGGGGACACCGUCGGGGACGUCGCGCUGGAGCAACCGCUCCCGCCAGCCACGUCGGGCCUCAACUCGGACCUCUAACAGCAGCACGUAGUGUCAUCUUCUCUUUCUAGUCCCUCUGUUUGUGGCUGUAAGUGAAGUAAAGCCUUUCUUCAGUAAAGCAGAGGGAGAAGGAAGAGAGUGAGACACUGCCUCAAGUGUCUGGAGAAAUCGACUGCGACACUGCUGCUGAUUUAAAAGACUUGCUUGGACCUUCAAAGGUCAAACCGGAAAAGACAGUGGAAAUAGCCUGGGACCAAGAGGAUGCGCAGGACUCUGCCCCAGACGAAUGUCUGGGACCUUUGCCUGAAAACGACGGAACUCAGGAGUCGAGUGCUUUCAAGUUUUCCUUCUUUGAAGACACAGAGGAGUUGGGCAUCAAAGAAGGGCCUCACAUACUUGGAACGAUAAAACCGGAAAAAGUCACGUGGCAAGAGGAUUCACAUUUCCAAGACAUCACUUCUGAGGGUGCUGAUGAGCCGGAGAUGUCAGAAAUUGCAAAGCACCAAGAAAGAUAAUUACCUCAUAGCUAUAGGAACGUUUAGAGCUUAGCAGAAAAAUAGUCACUAGACAGGUUAGCGAGACAUUUGGGAUCCUUUCAGGUAGGUCUAUCUCCUUUAACUUUUUCCUGUCUUUCUGGUGUUACUGUUAGAUAUGCCGAGUGUUCUUGUCAGCCACAUACGUCCGUGCGGUUCUUCAUCCUAAUGAAUCUGGGGCUUGCUCUUCUGAAGCCAGUGAAUUUUCGAUUUAAAAACAAAGACAACAACAACAAAAGAAAACAUACACAGCCCCCAAAAAUUACACAGGCCACCAAAACAAUUGCUUGUUCUAUUUUGUAGAAUAUAGUCUCAAGACAGGCUUAAAUGACGUUUGUUUCUUGAGACUUGCUAGAUAACGCGGAUGAAAUGUAUGGCUGUGUUCAUACAGUUACGGCCCUGCAAUCUUCCAGCCCGUCUGAUUUGCAGGGUGUGUCAGAAUGGAGAUCUCAGCCCCUGGCAGGCAGCGCUUCUGGGGCCAGCUGUGGGAUCCUGCUGCUGAGCAUUUAAUGCAAGAGCUGCUGUUUCACUGCAAUUUAGAUUGCAGCAUGUUCAGGGAGACAGCUGCUGCCUUUCAUUUUUCUUAGUACACCAGGCUGCAGUAGGGAACAUUUCUGCUGGAGCCAACAUGUGGUGGGGGAGAAGAGAAUAGGAGGGACGUGGAGGAUAGAGCUUCUGACUUUAUCGUGUUGUUCAUUCAUGAUUGUUGGGAGCAGCAGCCGAAUCAGAAGAGUUG